CAGUUACAGGGCCCCUUUACAGUGGUAAUUUCACAAUGAGGGCCUUUCCUUUUAAUUUCCUUUACUUAACAAACUUCAGAUCUGUCAGAACCGGUAGAUGUUUACAGUGAUUGGAUUGAUGCUUGUGAAGCAGCUAACCAGUAGCAACAGUCUUAUUUUUGCCGCGUAAUCCCACAAUCUCGUGGCUUCUGUUGCCAUCCCUUCACGUCCUUCGCUGUCGAGUCUCCCUAAUCACACCUUGAAGAGAUUGGUGCAUAUCGAAGGAUGCUCUGAAAUUAAUACAACUUGUAACAGAGGCUCCAUUUCAUCAUCAACUAAUGUUAUGGGACCACAGCUGCUAAAAUGUCCAUUACAUCUGGGCAGAAGUAUUUGUCUAGUAGUGGUUUUAUUUUUUCCCCCCCAUUUUUUUUUUUUUUGUACAAAACCACAAGUCAAAGAUUUGGUGGGUUUUUUUUUUUAAUUUUUUUUUUUUUUAAAUCUAUUUUUUUUCCCAAAAGUUUGCCAGCAAUCAGGGAAACAAAAUUUAAAAUAUUUAUACACUUUUCUUCAGAUUUUAUGAAACCCGUUUCUCCCUGUGUUCAAGCACAUAGUAGAACAUUGAAUAAGUAAAGCCAUUAACUAGGAGAAUAUUUAUCAAGAAUCUGGUUAAAAAUGUAGAUUCAUUCGUUGCUCUUUAUCAUUACAACUGUUUUUAUCCUGCUUUAUGUAAUGUAGACCCCUUAACAAUCUAAAGCCUAUAUAGCGCUCCAGUGGUCCUUGCUCUAUGAUCACAAUAAUUCUAAGGAACCUGUAGUUUAGCAGAGAAUUAAUUUAACGGGGAUAUUGCUCAGAGGUGGCAGGUGAGUGCAAAUCAGAUGCUUGGCUUCUCGUCUGUAAAAUUCUGUUAACUAGAUAGAGAUCUGCUCACUAUAGCUUUCAUUCUUGGAAAUGUGAGCCAGUUUGAGAGCACUGGAUGCCCAAGUUUGUAUCUCCAAAAAUAUGAUUUGAUCUUGUGUACACAGUGACUGCAUAGAAUUAAGCAGUUUGCAUAUUUUUGUAAAUACGUAUUAUAACAUGACCUCUUUUGAAAACCAAUAUUGUGUUUGUGUAUCUCUAAGGGGAAUUCAGAAUGUUCAAAAAUGUGUUUUGUGGUUUUAUAUUUUAUUUAUGAAUUUUCUAGCUAUGGGGAUUGGGGGAUUUCUAGACCAUAAAGGGAAAUUGUCACUAGCACCACUACAAAUUAAUGUAGUGGUUCUGGUGUCUGUAGUCUGUCGCUGCAGGCUUUUCAGUGUAAACAGGGGGUGGGGGGAUUGCGUUGCUGUGACCUAAAUAGUUUUAAUUCUAGUGUCAGGAAUAAAUGUUUAUAUUUCUAAAACUAUAGUGUUAAUUUUUAAUGAAAGUAAAUGUUUGUAUUAUGUGUCAUAUGCAUGUAGUUGAAUAAUCUCGGACAGGGUUAUCUACUGAAGUAAGAAUUGAAAGUUUAUUGCAAACAUAAGGCCAUAGUUGACUUAGAGAAUUUUCCAUUUCAGCUACCUUUUGUCUUGCAUUUGAAAAUCAUUUUGAAUUCUCACUUUUUAGUGAAUAAGCCUGUAAAUUGUGAAUGGCAAGAUGUCUAGAUGGCCAGUUCAAAAGAAAGCUAACAAUGUAAUUGGUUAGUUUAGCACAAUUUAAUUGAACAUUUUGCGUUUUCCUGCAUUAUGUCACCCACCCCUCUUACAUUUUGAGAACAGAGUAACGGUAGUGGCAGAAAUUGUGCAGUCCAAAGUAGAGCUCCAUCCCAUAAUAAAG
rnacentral:lncRNA from 1 species